CGAAGUCCAGCGGGCAGCCACCGUGUCCACGUCUGGGAGUGUGCCGGGACCUUCCUACCUCCUCUCGGUGUGAACAUUGCGGUGGACAGCACAGACGACCGGAGACAGACAGGAGGUCAAGUCCCAGGAUGCCCGGGAGGGAAGGGAAAGGAUCUGCUCAGCCACAGACUCUAGGUGUAGCCGACCUGUUGCCUGCGGGAAAGCGUCCCACAAGAUCUGAGAGCCAGGAGUCCGUGCUGAAGUCAGCCGCGAUCUUACGGGCGAGCAUCCCCAGAGUCCAGCGCCCACGGGAGGAAGACGUACACGGUGCCGGGAAAAGCAGCGGGCACCUUCAGAAGCUGGACAGCACCGGGGCCGCAGAGUACCAGAGGUCGGUUCCUGGGCUCUUCCCAAGACGCCAGGCCCAUGUCCACAAUUCCAGACUCCAUUCAACCGAGGCCAAGAGGGGAGCCCGCUGAAGACCCUCCUCACCUUGGACACACAUUCUGACGACAGCCUGGAGGAUGCCUGAACUUGAGGAAACCUCAGAAGGACUUCUCCAGAAACAAGGACAUUUGGCUCUAGAGUGGGACAGGGGACAGGAUGCCCGUCCUCUGGGAGUGGUGGGCUGCUCUGCACCUGCAGACCCUCGUUUAUCCUGCAUGUUCCUCCUCCGUGAGAGACCACCACCCGAGGCUCACGGAGGGCGAAUGACGGUGUGGACCAGCAGGGGAGCAUGUGCUCCUAGCCCCUAGCCUCAGGGUCCAGGUGCAAGGGGCCACCGGAUCUUGGCUGGCCUGGAGUGUCUGUGCCUGCCUGUGGGAAGGAAGGUUAUGGAUACAACUUGCUAUCUGCCAAUAAACAGAAUUUUGGAA
rnacentral:lncRNA from 1 species